CAGGAAUGCAGGACUCAGCAGGACCUGACAUGGCCUCCACAAUUCUUGGCUGGCCCUGUGCGGUGCCAGCCGGGCAAGUUUGAUUCCUGUUGUAUUCUGGUGUCUCAGCCGUGCAGCAGGGAAGUGGUGCUGGAGCAAACUGUCUAGAGGCAUCAAUUCUUAACCAGGUCCCUCUAUAUACAUCUAAGCUCUUCAGAACUGGGACUCUAACUUACAUCUGAGACCCUCUGAGGGAAAAAACUGAGAGCCUGACUGUCGCUCCUGUGAAGGUCCCGACGCUGCCCCUCGCUGCCUCCUGGCAGGUUACUUCAAAUCGAGAAGCAUUAUAGGAAUACUCAUGCUGCAUAAUUAAAAUUAAAAAUCAGUUGGAAAACCUGAAAAGGAGUUUUCUUCACUUAUCAGAAAAUCCUAGAACUCUGAUCUAAUAUGAAGGAUAAAACAUCCCCAGCAGUUGGAGCCUAGAAAGCCUCUGCAAUUCAAGUGUAUGAAAG